AUGUCAAGCAUCUCUUCAUGUCUCUUCUGUCUCUCUAUAUUCCCUCAUCUGCAUAUGUAUUUCUCUUCCUCUAAAUUAUCCCCCUUCUCCCCAUAUGUCUUUCUCUUCCUCUAUAUUAUCUCCCCUUCUCCCCAUAUGUCUUUCUCUUCCUCUAUAUUAUCUCCCUUCUCCCCAUAUGUAUUUCUCUUCCUCUAUAUUAUCUCCCCUUCUCCCCAUGUCUUUCUCUUCCCUAUAUUAUCUCCCU
rnacentral:lncRNA from 1 species